CUGCAGCCCGAGUGGUGACCGAUAUUAUUGAGCCUAAAGCGUCCGUAGCCGGUCUGGUAAAUUCUUGGGUAAAUCGGGCAGCUUAACUGUCCGACUUCCGAGGAGACUGCCAGACUUGGGACCGGGAGAGGUCAGAGGUACUCCAGGGGUAGGGGCUAAAUCCUGUAAUCCUUGGGGGACCACCAGUGGCGAAGGCGUCUGACUAGAACGGAUCCGACGGUAAGGGACGAAACCCUGGGGCGCAAACCGGAUUAGAUACCCGUGUAGUCC
rnacentral:rRNA from 1 species